GAUGAACGCUGGCGGCGUGCUUAACACAUGCAAGUCGAACGAAGCACUUUAUUACGAUUUCUUCGGAAUGACGAUUUAGUGACUGAGUGGCGGACGGGUGAGUAACGCGUGGGUAACCUGCCUUAUACAGGGGGAUAACAGUUAGAAAUGACUGCUAAUACCGCAUAAGCGCACAGGAUUGCAUGAUCUGGUGUGAAAAAACUCCGGUGGUAUAAGAUGGACCCCGCGUCUGAUUAGCUGGUUGGUGAGGUAACGGCCCACCAAGGCGACGAUCAGUAGCCGACCUGAGAGGGUGACCGGCACAUUGGGACUGAGACACGGCCCAAAACUCCUACGGGAGGCAGCAGUGGGGAAUAUUGCACAAUGGGGGAAACCCUGAUGCAGCGACGCCGCGUGAGCGAAGAAGUAUUUCGGUAUGUAAAGCUCUAUCAGCA
rnacentral:rRNA from 1 species